GACCGCUCCUGUGUCCUAGUGGUUAGAGCAUCUGCCUUGGAUGCAAGAGGUCAUGGGUUCGAAUCUCAGCAAAGUCA